rnacentral:lncRNA from 1 species
UAAGGUUUCCUACUAACUAAGCUAGGAAAUUCAACUACACCAUAGAGAAUACAGGGCAAUCAGGUAUGCAUAUGGAAAGGGCUAAUACUUACUCUUCCUUUUACUAAACUUUCUCUUAAUAAUAUUACCUCCUCGACUAAUUAUCUCAUAAUACAAGCUACAUGUGAGGAAAACAUUCUUCAUAAUAUUCUUUUUAAUCCUUUUAAUGAACUUGUUGAUGAAGACAACAACACUGUUAUUAACACUAAUCCGGACUUAACCAGCUCUUCACACAAAUAAAUUACUACUCAAGCAUACUUAAAAUUACCUACAAACUCGGUCCCAUAAAUAUUGGUCCAAGCUCCACCGCAACUUAUCAACAUGCAUGCUAUAGGAAACGACCAACUAUCCAACAUGCAAGACACAAACUCUCCCUCACACCCCAUACAGUCAACAACAAUUAAUAGCCUACACCAAAAUACACAAACAACACACAAAAAAAAUAAAAUACUUAUUAAUUCUCUUCAAUCGACCUCUUCAAACAUUAGUCUAUCUUACAUACAGAAGUAUCAUCACGAUAUCUCCACUGCCAUAUCUUAUUCUCCUUCAAACACACAAACGCUAACUCUAUCAAUCAAAUCGUCAAUAUCCUCCACUCAAUCUACUCUUCAUAUCUUGCAUGGUUCAAUUUAAUCUUCCAACUUGGUCUUAUCCCCAUCCAUCACUCAAUCAAAGAUUUUCACAAAUUUAUAAAAUGUUUGCCAUCAACCUCAACUAUCUAAGAAGGUCACAACCCUACCCCCUAUGCCAGUCUAUACAUCUGCUACAGCACUAUCAAAAUCCAAUCUCAUUUUCACCAUCCCACUUGAUAACGGAGG